UACGUAGGGGGCUAGCGUUGUCCGGAUUUAUUGGGCGUAAAGAGCGUGUAGGCGGCCAUGUAGGUCCGGUGUGAAAACUCGAGGCUUAACCUCGAGAUGUCAUCGGAAACCAUUUGGCUAGAGUCCGGAAGAGGAGAGUGGAACUGCGAGUGUAGAGGUGAAAUUCGUAGAUAUUCGCAAGAACACCAGUGGCGAAGGCGGCUCACUGGCCCGGUACUGACGCUGAGGUGCGAAAGCGUGGGGAGCAAACAGG
rnacentral:rRNA from 1 species